rnacentral:rRNA from 1 species
CGCGAAUGGCUCAUUAUAACAGCUAUAAUUUACUUGAUCUUGACACAAUCCUACUUGGAUAACUGUGGUAAUUCUAGAGCUAAUACAUGCAUUAAAGCUCUGACCUCACGGGAAGAGUGCAUUUAUUAGAACAAAACCAAGCGGCUUCGGCUGUUUCUGGUUGACUCAUAGUAACUGAGCUGAUCGCACGGUCUUGCACCGGCGACGUGUCUUUCAAGUAUCUGCCGUAUCAACUUUCGAUGGUAGUGUAUCUGACUACCAUGGUGAUCACGCGUAACGGAGAAUAAGGGUUCGGCUCCGGAGAGUUCGCCUGAGAAAUCGCGAACACAUCUAAGGAAGGCAGCAGGCGCGAAAAUUACCCACUCUCAACACGAGGAGGUAGUGACGAAAAAUAACGAGACCGUUCUCUUAUGAGGCCGGUCAUCGGAAUGGGUACAAUUUAAACCCUUUAACGAGUAUCUAUGAGAGGGCAAGUCUGGUGCCAGCAGCCGCGGUAAUUCCAGCU